CCCAACAUCUGGAAGUAUGUGACCCCCCUUUUCUGUUCAGGAGCUCAAGUCAUGUGGUCCUGUCCACCAUUAAACCAUCUUUCCAAGCAGCCUCCAUGUCACCAAUGUCUUUUUCCCCACUUGGAGCCGAACCCAGAAGGACAUUUCUUCCAACAGACUGAUGGGAUCUGUAGCAUAUCUUCCCUGCCUGACCAGUGCCAUCUACACUGGGAAGUCCAAUCACCAACUGCUCGGUGAACAUGCAACAUACUGUAGGAAUAGAAUACAGAAUACCAGAGUUGGAAGGGAGCUUGGAGGUCUUCUAGUCCAACCCACUGCUCAAGCAGGAGAUCCUAUGCCAUUCUGGGAAAUUUCUCCUUAGUUCUAUAUUGGAUCUCGCCUUGAUACGUUCCCAUCCUUGGUUCAUCUUCUGCUUCCUGGUGUUUUGGAGAAUAGGUUGGCUCCAGCAGUGAAAUCCUCUGAAGUCUGCUACUGAGUAUGCACUUUGCACGUAUGUGCUAAAAAAGGAAUAUUUUGAAGCCUUCCGAGUCUGCAAAGAUAAAGAAAAGUAAAGACUGAGGUGCCUUGGUGCUGUUCUUGCAGACAUUUCAUUAUCCAAACUAGAUUGGAAAGGAUCUGCCAAGUGAAUUAAGAGGAGAGGCACCAACAACAUUUUCAACAUUGAACACCAAGAGGGAGGCUUCAUCUGUUCCAGUUGUGUUUACCAGCUUCUUUGAGCACAAGCUGUAUUAUCUGAUCAAUCUAAAGUGGACCAAGCCCCGGGGUGAGAGCCACCAGUGGUGGCUGCUGUGGGCAUGUCCCCUUUCUGGUCCUUAGCCACUGAUUUUCAGGGUCGCAGGAGUGUUGCAGUUCUCUGUGCCAAAAUGCUAUUGCUCUCACUUCUCUCUCAACCCAUGGCUAGCAUGAGAUGAAAUGGAAGCAAAUUAUUUGGUAAAACCAUGGGCAGUGCUACUUCCAGAAAAAAGUGGGGGAGAAAAGCAGCUUUGAUGCCAGUUCUCUUGAGUCUGUUUCUCUUUUCCCACUUCGCUUGCCUCUGGAUGAUCACUCAUAGGACAGGUAGCCUAACCACAGAAGUCCUGUGGGUCUUCUCCUACCAGAAGCUGGCAUGAAAGGAGAUGUUCUCUGGUGCAGACCAAAUCCCUAUUCUACUUUGUUGCCAGGGCAGAUUAAGUUAGAAAGGCCAAUGUCCACAAUGGAUGGCAGCAUUUCAUAGCUUCUGUGAGGACGUGCCCAAAUCUAUAAUGGGCAUUAAGAAA